AGAGGAAGGAGAAGUCGUAACAAGGUUUCCGUAGGUGAACCUGCGGAAGGAUCAUUGUCGAUGCCUGCCCAGCAGAACGACCCGCGAACUCGUGAAACAACCUCCGGGCGGGGGUGUCAUGCCCCCUCUCGAAAACGGAUGGGAGGGCACGUCUUGCUUGCCCGUCGCUCCUCGCGCGCGGCGGGUCGAUCUCCUCGUCCCCCCUCCCAGCCGAACAACGAACCCCGGCGCGGUCUGCGCCAAGGAACUCGAACAAGGAGUAACCGCGGUCGCCCCGGAAACGGUGCGCGUGCCGUCGGUGACAUCUUAUCACGAUUAUAUAACGACUCUCGGCAACGGAUAUCUCGGCUCUCGCAUCGAUGAAGAACGUAGCGAAAUGCGAUACUUGGUGUGAAUUGCAGAAUCCCGCGAAUCAUCGAGUCUUUGAACGCAAGUUGCGCCCGAAGCCAUCCGGUCGAGGGCACGUCUGCCUGGGUGUCACGCAUCGUUGCCCCAACCCCAUCGCCUCUCACGCGGCGCGGGGUGCGGGGCAGACAUUGGCCUCCCGUGCGCUGUCUCGCUCGCGGUUAGCCUAAAAAAGAGUCCUGGGCGGCGAGCGCCACGACAAUCGGUGGUUGUCAAGACCCUCGUGACCCGUCGUGCGCUGCCCGUCGCCGUGAAGGCGCUCCUCGGCCCCGACGCGUCGCUCUCGCGACUCUACCAUCGCGACCCCAGGUCAGGCGGGACUACCCGCUGAAUUU
rnacentral:rRNA from 1 species